GACGAACGCUGGCGGCGUGCUUAACACAUGCAAGUCGAGCGGUAAGGCCCUUCGGGGUACGACGAGCGGCGAACGGGUGAGUAACACGUGGGUGACCUGCCUUUAGCUCUGGGAUAAGCCUGGGAAACUGGGUCUAAUACCGGAUAUGACCUCAUGACGCAUGUUGUGGGGUGGAAAGCCUUGUGCGGCUAGAGAUGGGCCCGCGGCCUAUCAGCUUGUUGGUGGGGUGANGGCCUACCAAGGCGACGACGGGUAGCCGGCCUGAGAGGGCGACCGGCCACACUGGGACUGAGACACGGCCCAGACUCCUACGGGAGGCAGCAGUGGGGAAUCUUGCGCAAUGGGCGAAAGCCUGACGCAGCGACGCCGCGUGAGGGAUGACGGCCU
rnacentral:rRNA from 1 species